rnacentral:lncRNA from 1 species
CUUCGCUCUCCCCGGCCAACCGCCCGGACCUCGGCGCUUUCUUCUAGGAUCCGCAUGAAUCGCUUUGGGCUAUCGGAAGAGCUAUCCCCAGUUCUCGGGAGAAAGAGUCCGCGACCAGCGUCUGACCUCUCACUCAGAGUCCCCAGUCCUGCCUUAGUUUCCCCAGCGACCCUGAAUUUGGAGUUGCUGUCUCUAAGUGAAAGCUGAACCUGCAACCCCUUGAGGGUUUCAGCCGCAGAGGGGCGGGAGAAAGGGCCUGGUUGGUAGGCGGGCUCAGCGGUUCGCGCCCAGUUAGCCCCGAGCUUCGGAGACCCGAGAGACCAGAGGAUGGCUGACACGAAGGGGCACCCGAGACAGCGCCUGGGCUUUUUCCCGCCCGCGGUUCCACCGCUCUGAAACCGAUUUCUAACAGAGAGACGAAGUCUUGCUCUGUCGCCCAGGCUGGAGUGCAGUGGCACGAUCUCCGCUCACUGCAAGCCCCGCCUCCUGGGUUCACGCCAUUCUCCUGCCUCAGCCUCCCGAGUAACUGGGACUACGGGCACCCACCA